rnacentral:rRNA from 1 species
GCACCACAAGGCGUGAAGCUUGCGGUUCAAUUGGAGUCAACGCCGGGAACCUUACCGGGGGCGACAGCAGGAUGAAGGCCAGGUUGAUGGUCUUGCUGGACGAGCUGAGAGGAGGCGCAUGGCCGUCGUCAGUUCGUGCCGUGAGGUGUCCUGUUAAGUCAGGCAACGAUCGAGACCCGCACCCUUAGUUGCUACCGAGGAAGUUUUCCAAGGGGCACUCUAAGGGGACUGCCGCCGACAAGGCGGAGGAAGGAGCGGGCCACGGCAGGUCAGUAUGCCCCGAAUCCCCCGGGCUACACGCGAGCUGCAAUGGCAGGGACAAUGAGUUCCAACCUUGAAAAAGGGAGGUAAUCCCUAAACCCUGCCUCAGUUGGGAUCGAGGGCUGCAACUCGCCCUCGUGAACAUGGAAUGCCUAGUAAUCGCGUGUCAUCAUCGCGCGGUGAAUACGUCCCCGCUCCUUGCACACACCGCCCGUCGCUCCAUCCGAGUGGGGUUUGGGUGAGGCGUGGUCUUCUUGGUCGCGUCGAAUCUAGGCUCUGCGAGGAGGGAG